rnacentral:tRNA from 1 species
GCCGGAAUAGCUCAGCUGGGAGAGCAACAGACUGAAGUCGAUUAUGUUUUCUGGAGGUCCCGUGUUCAAUCCACGGUUCUGGCA